UCCCCUCUCUCCAGUAUCCGACAUCAAAAUCAAACUACAAUAAGAAAGCUACAACAAUACAUAGUAGAAAAUGGUGUUGCACAUACUCCAGACAUAUGAACCACGAAAACUAACUCUCAUACCUCAAGUGACAAAGACUGCACUUCUGCCGCUUUGAUUGUGAUUCACUUUCUCAGUUUAUGCCCUCUUGCCAAACCCAAUAGGACACAAAGGAAUCUCAAAUAGGAUAAAUAACCAUUCAGACUAUGCUGGGAGGAUCCCCCACCCAAUUGCAAACAGCACGUGCCCAACGUGUUCUUACGCAGUCUACCAAAGGCGCAUGUUGAGCAGGCUCAGGUUUUGUCACUUCAGUAUCUUUGCCACUUGAUUCAUUUCCCCCAGAACCAGAGGACACUACCACAUCUGCCAUGAAUUCCUCAGGAGUCCACCUAGGUGGAACUGAAACCCUGAGCUUUGUAAGCCUAGGUCUUUGGACUGGCGUCUCACCUCCUAAGGCCAUGUGGCUGCCGUUUAAAUCAGAUUUUGCAAUACCAUUAAAAUGGUAAAGAUCAAACAC
rnacentral:misc_RNA from 1 species